rnacentral:tRNA from 1 species
CGGGUGUAGUUCAAUGGUAGAACUUCAGCCUUCCAAGCUGACUACGUGGAUUCGAUUCCCAUCACCC